AAUCAACGCUGGCGGCGUGCCUCAGACAUGCAAGUCGAACGAUUAAGACUUCCUUCGGGAAGUGUAUAAAGUGGCGCACGGGUGAGUAACACGUAAGUAAUCUACCUUCGAGUGGGGAAUAACAUCGGGAAACCGAUGCUAAUACCGCAUAAUGCAGCGGCAUCGCAAGAUGACAGUUGUUAAAGGAGCAAUUCGCUUGAAGAGGAGCUUGCGGCAGAUUAGCUAGUUGGUAAGGUAAUGGCUUACCAAGGCUACGAUCUGUAUCCGGUCUAAGAGGACGGUCGGACACACUGACACUGAAUAACGGGUCAGACUCCUACGGGAGGCAGCAGUCGGGAAUUUUGGGCAAUGGGCGAAAGCCUGACCCAGCAACGCCGCGUGAGGGAUGAAGUAUUUCGGUAUGUAAACCUCGAAAGAAUGGGAAGAAUAAAUGACGGUACCAUUUAUAAGCUCCGGCUAACUACGUGCCAGCAGCCGCCGCGGUAA
rnacentral:rRNA from 1 species